rnacentral:rRNA from 1 species
UUUUAUGAGAGUUUGAUCCUGGCUCAGGACGAACGCUGGCGGCGUGCCUAAUACAUGCAAGUCGAACGCUUCUUUUUCCACCGGAGCUUGCUCCACCGGAAAAAGAGGAGUGGCGAACGGGUGAGUAACACGUGGGUAACCUGCCCAUCAGAAGGGGAUAACA